GAUGAACGCUGGCGGCGUGCCUAAUACAUGCAAGUCGAGCGAACGGACGAUAAGCUUGCUUCUCUGAUGUUAGCGGCGGACGGGUGAGUAACACGUGUAUAACCUACCUAUAAGACUGGGAUAACUUCGGGAAACCGUAGCUAAUACCGUAUAAUAUUUUGAACCGCAUGGUUCAAAAGUGAAAGACGGUCUUGCUGUCACUUCUAGAUGGAUCCGCGCUGCAUUAGCUAGUUGGUAAGUUAACGGCUUACCAAGGCAACGAUGCAUAGCCGACCUGAGAGGGUGAUCGCCCACACGGGAGCUGAGACGCGGUCCAGACGACUAAGGGAGGCAGCAGUAGGGAAUCGUCCGCAAUAGGCGAAAGCAUGACGGAGCAACGCCGCGUGAGUGAUGAAGGUCUUCGGAGCGUAAAACUCUGUUACUAGGGAAGAACAGAUGUGUAAGUAACUGUGCACAUCGUGACGGUACCUAAUCAGAAAGCAACGGCUAACUACGUG
rnacentral:rRNA from 1 species